rnacentral:lncRNA from 1 species
GGGGUUUUAAGUUACCGAAUGUGGUGGGGUUUUAUGAGUAGUUGAUUAGUGGGUAGAUUUUCUUUUGGUUUUAAUUUUGUUUUAAUUUUAUUUUUCUUGGUUAUCCAAAAUUCUUUUUCCCUAAAAGUUUGAUUGCGGUGCCACCCUUGUGCUUUUCACGUUCUUGUUUCUCAGUUGAUCUUUUUUAUUCAAAUUUCUUGUUUUUCGUUCAUAACUUCUUGGUUAAUUUUUUUCCUAUUGUUUACCCUUCACUGAUAUUUCGUUCUAAGUCUUAUCGUGCCGUCAAUCUUUAAAUUAUCUCAGGUAAGUGUUCUCUAUCAAACUUUUGUUGAAAUAUGUAAAUGGAC